rnacentral:tRNA from 2 species
CCGGGAUGUAGCGUAGUUUGGUAACGCGCCUAAUUUGGGAUUAGGAGAUCGUCGGUUCAAAUCCGGCCAUUCCGGU